GAAAAGUGGAUGUGUUUUUUUUCAGAGAACUGCUCAGUGUUUCAAAAUGCUUGUUUAGAGUGAUUAAUGUCAUUUAUUCACUAAAAAUCUCAGUUAGCAUUUUCAUUUUGUUUUCUGUGUUUUGUUAAGUCUUCAGAAACUAUCUCACUCAGAGAUACCAAUCUGAGUGAGCAGAUCAGUAUCCUGACCACUGGGAAAUAGGAUCUAUGCAGAGACAGGAAGGCUGGAGCUCACCUGCCAGCCACACCUGGAAGAAGGUAGCUCCAGCUGCACUCCUGGUGAAAAGCAAAUGAAAGAGAAUUAAGUGCAGAGCCAUUGGCAACAUGCGCCACGCAGCAGGACCAGGGCCCAGGAAACGGUGCUGGCAGAGGCGACAGGGACCUGCAAACAGAGCAGAUGCUGCUGCAAGAGCCUUGGUACCUCGUGAUGGGUUCAGUCUGCUUCCCAGCACUAUGGUGCCGCCGGCACAGGGCUGACCCAGGCCGUGCGCUGUCCCCGUCCCUGCUUUCACAGCUUAGCCACAUCCAGCAUCCAGGCUGAGAUGAGCUUUUUUCUCUAAAGCACUGCUGUGUUCUAUCAUCCGCUGCUCCCCGCAGCGCCGGGCAGCUCACGCCAUCUCUCUGCUACGCUCACUGCAGCUGCAGAACGGGAUAAUAACGCCAGUGCCAGGCAUAAGGAUUAAUAUUUUAAAGUGGUUUGAGGUUAAAACAUGCUGCGUGGAUCUGAUCUGUGCUACUGAAGGUCAGUAGAAGCUUUAGGAUGAGGAUGGAGUAAUAAUACUGUUAAAAUUAAUAAUGAUUUAUUCUUCCCAAAUCCAAUUAUUUUGCAGAAGAACAGCGAGUAGUUUCAGCAUAACGGCCCUGUAAGUCAGUCACAGAACAUGCAAACCCUGCACAACUCAACCCUUGCACUGGUCCGAAUGCUUUCUCUCUUCAUCAUUUAAAUUUCUGCUUGCAAAAUAAUUUAUAGUAAGCUCUGCAACGCAUAAAUAUUAAAAUA